rnacentral:rRNA from 1 species
UACGGAGGGGACUAGCGUUGUUCGGAAUUACUGGGCGUAAAGCGCACGUAGGCGGAUUUGUAAGUCGAAUGUGAAAUCCCUGGGCUCAACCCGGGAACUGCAUCCGAAACUACUAAACUUGAAUGCUUAAGAGGUUGGUGGAAUUCCUGGUGUAGGAGUGAAAUCCGUAGAUAUCAGGAGGAACAUCGGAGGCGAAGGCGGCCAACUGGUGAUGCAUUGACGCUGAGGUGCGAAAGCGUGGGGAGCAAACAGG